CAUAACUGUUAUUGCGAAAGGUGGAAUGACAGGGUAACGCCUCGAAACGCCUUCCCAAAGAAACGCCGUGCAGGAAAGGAGAUAAUGUCUUGAAUGUAUGAAGUGCGUUAAGAUGUCCGGUAAUUGCCCUAACGAGUAAAGUCGAGGAAAACCGAACCAGAGGUGGUCGAGCAACAUAGGGCUAGGGUCUAGAAA
rfam:Eubacterium nodatum ATCC 33099 contig00014, whole genome shotgun sequence.